GAUGAACGCUAGCGGCAGGCUUAAUACAUGCAAGUCGAGGGGCAGCAGGUCCCGCAGCAAUGCGGGAUGCUGGCGACCGGCAAACGGGUGCGGAACACGUACAGAACCUUCCUUUAAGUGGGGAAUAGCCCGGGGAAACCCGGAUUAAUACGCCGUAACAUAAUGAAGUGGCAUCACUUUAUUAUUAUAGCAGCAAUGCGCUUGAAGAUGGCUGUGCGGCUGAUUAGGUGGUGGGCGGGGUAACGGCCCACCAAGCCUACGAUCAGUAACUGGUGUGAGAGCACGACCAGUCACACGGGCACUGAGACACGGGCCCGACUCCUACGGGAGGCAGCAGUAAGGAAUAUUGGGCAAUGGACGCAAGUCUGACCCAGCCAUGCCGCGUGGAGGAUGAAGGUCCUCUGGAUUGUAAACUUCUUUUAUCUGGGAAGAAAUCUAUUUUUUCUAAAGUAGUUGACGGUACCAGAUGAAUAAGCACCGGCUAACUCCGUGCCAGCCGCCGCCGUAA
rnacentral:rRNA from 1 species